rnacentral:rRNA from 2 species
GGGGGAUAUUGCACAAUGGAGGAAACUCUGAUGCAGCAACGCCGCGUGAGGGAAGACGGUUUUCGGAUUGUAAACCUCUGUCCUUGGUGACGAAACAAAUGACGGUAGCCAAGGAGGAAGCUCCGGCUAACUACGUGCCAGCAGCCGCGGUAAUACGUAGGGAGCAAGCGUUGUCCGGAUUUACUGGGCGUAAAGGGCACGCAGGCGGUUUUUUAAGUCAGAUGUGAAAACCCGGGGCUCAACCCCGGGACUGCAUUGGAAACUGUGUGGCUUGAGUGUCGGAGAGGUAAGUGGAAUUCCUAGUGUAGCGGUGAAAUGCGUAGAUAUUAGGAGGAACACCAGUGGCGAAGGCGGCUUACUGGACGAUGACUGACGUUGAGGCUCGAAAGCGUGGGGAGCAAACA